GACGAACGCUGGCGGCGUGCCUAAUACAUGCAAGUAGGACGCAGUUGCGAACGGGUGAGUAACGCGUAGGUAACUACCUAUUAGAGGGGGAUAACUAUUGGAAACGAUAGCUAAUACCGCAUACUAGUAGAUGGACCUGCGUUGUAUUAGCUAGUAGGUUGGGUAAUGGGCUACCUAGGCAACGAUACAUAGCCGACGUGAGAGGGUGUGUCGGCAAAAUGGGAAUGGGGACCGGGCCAGACUUCUUCGGGGGGCAGCAAGAGGGAAUCCUCGGCAAAGGGGGGAAAGCUUACCGAGGAACGCCGGGUGAGUGAAGAAGGUUUUCGGGUCGUAAAGCUCUGUUGUUAAGGGAGCGGUACUUAACCAGAAAGCGACGGCUAACUACGUGCCAGCAGCCGCGGUAAUAC
rnacentral:rRNA from 1 species